UACGGGGGGGGCAAGCGUUGUUCGGAAUUACUGGGCGUAAAGGGCCAGUAGGCGGCCAACUAAGUCCGACGUGAAAUCCCAAGGCUUAACCUUGGAACUGCGUCGGAUACUGGAUGGCUUGAAUUCGGGAGAGGGAUGCAGAAUUCCAGGUGUAGCGGUGAAAUGCGUAGAUAUCUGGAGGAAUACCGGUGGCGAAGGCAAUCCCCUGGGCCUGCACUGACGCUCAUGCACGAAAGCGUGGGGAGCAAACAGG
rnacentral:rRNA from 1 species